CCCCACUCCUCUUCCCACUCAAGCAAAUCCACCCGGCUCACUAACUAAUCCGCCAAAACCACCCGCCCGCCGUCGACAAAUUUCCGCGGCUGAACAAACGAGACCCACCAGCUAAUCACCCGGCCCGCCCGCGUGCGGGUGCGAGGCGAGAUCCAAUCGCAUCUCACAUCGCCACCGAACCGUAUCCUCCUCCCUUCCCCAUCCCCCACCCGCCCCCUCCCCUCCCCCCUUUCCCGAGGCAGCGGGCGAGAGAGGGAGAACAGAGCAGAGCAGAGGGCGAUGAAGAUCCAGUGCAACGCGUGCGGGGCGGCGGAGGCGCGGGUGCUCUGCUGCGCCGACGAGGCCGCGCUCUGCGCCGCCUGCGACGAGGAGGUGCACGCCGCCAACAGGCUCGCCGGGAAGCACCAGCGCGUGCCGCUCCUCCCCGACGCCGCCGCGCCGCCCAAGUGCGACAUCUGCCAGGAGGCUUCUGGAUACUUCUUCUGCCUGGAAGACCGUGCUCUACUUUGUAGAGAUUGUGAUGUUGCUAUACACACAGUGAAUUCCUUUGUUUCAGCACAUCAAAGGUUCCUGCUGACAGGAGUUCAAGUUGGCCUCGAUCCUGCCGAUCCUGUUCCACCUGUUGCUGACAAGCACGUAAACACUUCAGGUGGGUCAGUGGAUUCACUGCCGAAACACUUGCCAAAGAAAAAUCCUACAGCCCUAUUUUCAGGUGAAAACAGUGCAUCUAUUCCCAGCCAAAAUGCAAUCAGUGGAGAUUAUUCAAGGCAGAUUUCUGUUCCAAAUACCAAGACAGGAAUGACCAAUUGGACUAUGGACAACAGUGCACUCAGAUUGGCAGAGCCUCCACCUAAGUACCUGUCAGAUGGAAAUUCAAAACUUCUGCUCUCUAAUCAGACCACCACAGCUUUAUCCAACCAAAUGAACAGAGAUAGUGGCCGGGCUUACAACUUACCAUUCUCAGGUGGCAACGGGUCAGACAGUUUACCUGAGUGGCCUGUGGAUGAAUUCUUCAGUAACUUAGAAUAUGGCCCAAACUUUGGCUUCACUGAGCAUGGUUCUUCCAAGGGUGACAAUGCUAAGCUGGGGAGUGCUGGGGGAUCUCCACAGUGCCGUCUAGCUGAAGGCCUGUUUGCAGAAGACCUGCUAGGCCAGGUACCUGGAUUUGAUGCUGAGGAUCCAUGGGUGGUGCCCGAGGUUCCCUCCCCACCAACAGCCUCGGGUCUCUGCUGGCAAGGGAACUUGCAUUACCCUGUGUACGACGGCGCCAUGUUCGUCCCUGAAGCACCCUCCCUGCAGAGCUCCCAGGACAACUUCGCUGCAUCUGCUGGUUUCAAGCGUCGAAGGAGAGAGUUUUGAAUACCCGAAAGAAUAUAGCGUUGGACAUAUCUGUCAAACAGGGGAUCUUGCUGUGGGUCUCUUGGUGGGCCAAAUCGCAUAGACAAUCAUUCAAAUGGAUGGGUUCUUCGCUGGUCGGUCAAAAAGUAUAUGUUGUAAUUGUACGCCUUUUUUGGGUCUUGUUGCCAAAGAUCAUGGUUAUUGAGUUGUGAGCUCUGAGAUAACAGGUUUGUGUAUAGUGAAAUAAAGAGGAGCGUCGUCAACACCAUGUACUAUAUAGGCUUUGAAAUUCCAUUAAGAUGCAUCAGAAAUCAAUGUUGGAUUUGUGUGAUUCGAUUCGCAUGAACUUUACAUGUCUUGAAUCAAAUUUUAGUGCUUUUUGUUGUU
rnacentral:rRNA from 1 species